ACCUGAGCCCAGUUUACUAUAGGACUUAGCAGAGAGGGCUGCGCUCUAUCACUUGGUUUCCUUCCUUUCAACGAUCACAGCUUCCGUGGAGAUGUUCCAGGCUGGUUUAAGAUUUAGGGAAGGAGCUCAGUGGUUCCUCCUAAUUGUGAGAGGGAUAAACAUGUCACAUCACAGAAAGGAAGUAUUGUGAAGAAGCAGGCAAAGACUCUGAAUAAUCAGAUUUACUUUCUUUUCCUGCAUUGUGCUGUUUAAGACUGCUAAAUGAAGAUAAAUUCUAUUGCAGAAUCCUGAAUUUCACCAUGAAGAGACUGUCGCCCAGCCUUCUCAUCUAGAGAAUUAUUCUCAGGAUCUGCAGACAGGAGGUUCUGAACCUGAAUAUCUCCUGAUACUUAUAAUGGCAUCAUGGCCUCCUAUUUUCAGGGGGAAAACUCAUCUAAUACUUAAAUUGUAGUUUUUAGUGCAUGGAUCUCUGAAUAUCAGAAGAUUGCCUUCAAAAUGUUAUUUAGAUGCAUCUUAUGAAAUGGAUAUAUUCUAGGACUAUGUCAGUGUAGUACAAUCUGCUAAAGUAAGUUCUGCAUCACAAUGGCUUUUGGAAAUGUUGAGAUGUGUUCCUGGGAUAUUAGUUUGACUUCCAGAAAAAAAAUUCUCAUUGAAAAGGUUUUCUCCCCACCUAUGAGGAGCUCCAUUCUUUCUUUUAAAUUGACCAGACAUCCUGCCAGUUUGUGUAAGUGUGUGCUUGUGAACCCAUGUGCUUUUAUGUGCAUACGUGAGCUCAGGGGUAGAGCAAGUCAGAGGGAGUGUUGGCAGGAGACAAUAUGGAAAAUGGAAAAUCAUGGCAGACUUCUUUGUGUGCCAAGUUUGAAUAUGAAACCUAUUGCUCCUGAUGAAAACAAAACCAAAAUAAAAUGCUGUGGGUGAAAUAAUUUCUGACAAUGUAGCUACACUCAUAGAUUGUGUAAAAGAAUAGAAAAUUGCAGCUGCCAGUUGUGAAUCGAGUCUUUGGAUUUUUUUUCCCCAUUUUCGUGUGUCACAUAAUACCCCUUAUUUCUGCGUAUCUGAGGGCUAAUAGUAUAAAAUGCUUACCAAUCUGACUCUAUUUUCCUCUUUUUAAUAAAAUUUGGAAUAAAAUUUAUGAUCAUAACAAA
rnacentral:lncRNA from 1 species